rnacentral:misc_RNA from 1 species
GAUGAAGAACGUAGCGAAAUGCGAUACUUGGUGUGAAUUGCAGAAUCCCGUGAACCAUCGAGUCUUUGAACGCAAGUUGCGCCCGAAGCCAUUAGGCCGAGGGCACGCCUGCCUGGGCGUCACACGUCGUUGCUCCCCCAUCUACUCCUUCGGGAUUGCGGGGGGCGGAUGAUGGCCUCCCGUGCGCCUCGCCGCGCGGUUGGCAUAAAUGCCAAGUCCUCGGCGACGCACGCCACGACAAUCGGUGGUUGCGAAACCUCGGUUGCCCGUCGUGUGCGGUCGUCGCGCAUCGAGGGCUCGAAAAAAUUGCCGGGUUCCGGCUCGGCUUUCAACGCGACCCCAGGUCAGGCGGGGUUACCCGCUGAAUUUAAGCAUAUCAAUAAGCGGAGGA